CCUACGGGGCGCAGCAGUGAGGAAUAUUGGUCCAUGGGCGCGAGCCUGAACCAGCCAAGUAGCUUGAAGGAUGACUGCCCUACGUGUUGUAAACUUCUUUUAUAAAGGAAUCAAGUGAGGCACGUGUGCCUUUUUGUAUGUACUUUAUGAAUAAGGAUCGGCUAACUCCGUGCCAGCAGCCGCGUUAAUACGGAGGAUCCGAUCGUUAUCCGGAUUUAUUGGGUUUAAAUGGAGCGUAGAUGGUUUGUUAAGUCAGUUGUGAAAGUUUGCGGCUCAACCGUAAAAUUGCAAUUGAUACUGGCAGUCGUGAGUACAGUUGAGGUAGGCGGAAUUCGUGGUGUAGCGGUGAAAUGCUUAGAUAUCACGAAGAACUCCGAUUGCGAAGGCAGCUUACUAAACUGCCACUGACAUUGAUGCUCGAAAGUGUGGGUAUCAAACAGGAGUAGAGACCCGAGUAGUC
rnacentral:rRNA from 1 species